rnacentral:lncRNA from 10 species
ACUUGGCGUAUCUGAGGUGGCCAGAGGCGCCAGCGGAGCAGGAUGUCGGAGCUGCCACUCGCCUUCCACUGUGCUGUGAGAGCCACCGGGACACGUCAGCAUCUCCCCUGUUCUGAAAUCAACACCGAGACACACCGAGUCCCUCCGGAGGCAUCUGCAGAGGCAGCAACGCCACGCGAGGGCUGCCGACUCUCCAGCUCCAACAUUUCGUCCGGACCUCCCGGCAGCGCAGCGGGGGAUCCCCUCCCGUGAGGGGCCCGGAGGGGCUUCGAGAAGGCUGUCGCCUGAUGGGCUCCGUCAAGUUUCCCCCUGCAGACCCUCAUUCUACCAGUUUUGAUUCCAUUUUAAAUCUGACUUCCAAGUGGCACCCCUGCCGACGGUCAAAACGCCCCCUCUCCUGGUGUGUGCCCUCCAUCCCCGCUUCCUGGGGGCAGCCGGUUUCUUGCUGUCUGGACAACAGAGCUCUGCCAAUGCCACUUAUCUCGCCCGUCCAGGACUUUAUCACCAACUGUCCUACUUCCGACUCCAGCAAAGGAGCGACAGCGAGCACGUCUGUGCUUGGCUGUGACUAACAGGGCCUCUGAAUAAAGUGAAAAUAAUCCCACUUUAAGCUGCAAGAGGAAAGACCCACAGAAGGAAAGUCCUUCACGGACGGAGACCCAGGAUCCUGAAAUGCAGUGCGUCCCUUCAACGUUCUGAGAAUAAAAAUUUAAACAUGCAAGCCCCGGGAGGAAAAGCAAUUCCUAAAACAUGGCAGAAACAACAUAAAAAAAAUCUUGCUGUUGUUUUAAAAACUGACCUAAGACCAGGCAUGGUGGCUCACACCUGUAAUCCCAGCACUUUGGGAAGCCAAGGCGGGAGGAUCACUUGAGGCCAAAAGUUCAAGACCAGCCUGGGCAAUGUAGUGAGACCACCCCCCAUCUCUACAAACAAAUGUAAAAAUUAGCCAGACAUGGUGGUGUGCACCUGUGGUCCCAGCUACUUGGGAGGCUGAGGUGGGAGGAUGGCUUGAGCCCAGGAGGUUGAGGCUGC